UUUUUUUUUUUUUUCCUUAAAUUUUAUUUUGAAAUAUUUUGCAAACUAAUCUGGCGUGUGGUAGAUGAGGAUUUAAUAGAUCUUAGUGUCAAAGUAAUAAUAAAAGUUCUGUCAUUGCCCUCAAGAACCCUACCAUCUCAGAAGGAAGGCAGUGCUCUGAGAAUGUUAGCAGGCCAUCCUGGCACUCAGAAAUAGUGGGGUGCUGGCAAGGGGCCGGGAGUGCUGAGUGAUAGGGGGAGCCCAGGUCAGCACACAGGUAAGAGAACAUCCCAGCCUGGACUGCAGAGAGCGAGGGUGGUCAGGCAAGCUCUCCUUUCACUCCGAGACUGGAAGGAUGAGGGCGCCUACCAGGAUGAAGAAAGGAGAGGGAGGAAUGAAGGAUGCAGGCAGCGUGCACGGUACCCAGGACGCGCGAGCUGACCUGGGGAUGGCAUCUCCAGCCGCACGUGGUCACAGCAGCUGGCUGGCCUGGGCCAGCUCAGGGGAGUGAGUGCCCCUGGGUGUCUCCUUCGGGGACAAGUUAGAAAAGAAGGCAAUUAGGACAUGCUCCCUGACCUCGAGAAGCCUUCGAGCCUGUAGAGGACGCCGAUGGAAAAGUAGCCGAGUGUUCUGUGGCACAGAAUGUCCAGACAUGGCAUCAUCUACUGGGCUGCCCAGAAGACAGCUGGGAAACACAUUGCAGGAGGGUUCCCAGAGCAAAAGACCCCUGGGCGGAAGCUUGAAGGCAGUUCCAGGCAGCAGCAUGAACCUGAGUUGCUGGUAUGUGUAAAGGGCUUGAGGCCAGCCCUUCAGACACAGAGGCCGCCCUGUGUCUGAGCUGCUCCUAAGGUGCUCCGUCCAGCUCCUCCUGAGCCAAGGUGUUUGGGUGCAGCCUCCAAGCAGAGAGGUUCUUCUCAAACUGACCGGGCGGUGACCCAAAGCAGCCCCGGGGACAGCGCCCCGGCCCCACCAGCCAUUUUUCCACUCUGGCCUUUUUCUUCGUGUGGACGCAGCCCAUUUUCUGGAUAAGAACCUGCUGCGUAAGACCAUUCUUGCUCACGCGCCCCUCAGCAUGUGCAAACCAGCAACCGCAGAUAGAUCCCAGAUGGCGUUUUCCUGCUCUCGCAAACCUUGAAGUGGGCCCUGCCCGCGGGCACACCUGCCAAGGAAAAUGCUGUCCUCGAAAUGUUCCUGGCACCGUGUUCAAGAGGUGCCGACCAAGGGCUGGAAUUGCUGACCUCCCUGAAAGAGCAGCCCGCAGCCCUGGCCUCCGGGGUGAGCUCCCCUCGUGGGAGGGCCCGGCCGAGGUAAGAGACUCGCUCCGAGUCACAGAGCGCUGGCCCAGCCCAUCGCUCGCAGCAGGGGACGUGGUGGUUUCUAGGAAGGCCCUUCCCAGAAGGGAGAUGACUCAGGCUGGUCCCAGCUCCUCCUGAAGACCGGACAGACAAGGGGAGGAGCUAGGAGGUGUUCCGGGGUCACCUGGGCCAGGCCCUGCCUCCAGGGGCCAGAGGUGCAUUUUAUCCCAUCGGCCAGCAGAGAGCAUGGGGCAGGUUGAACCGAAUCCCUUCCCUCUGUGGAACCAUCAGUUUCCAAACGACAGACUACUUCUGCCCACACCUGGAAGGGCCAGGGACACAAGACACGUCGGCUUCUCCGCUAAGACUUUCCAUCCGAUGAAGAGCGGGUCAGGAGAGUUCGAUCCCUGGCCUCGCUCAGUGGGUUAAGGAUCCGGCGUUGUCGUGAGCUGUGGUAUAGGUCGCAGACGUGGCUUGGAUCUGGCGUGGCUCUGCUGGCCUACAACGCAGACACAGAGACACCAGAUCUGAGCCACGUCUGUGACCUACACCACAGCUCACGGCAACGCCGGAUUUUUAACCCACUGAGCGAGGCCAGGGAUCGAACCUGCAAACUCAUGGUUCCUCAUCGGAUUCGUUUCCGCUGCACCACAACGGGAACUCCAUGUUUUCCCCCUCUCUUAAGGAUCUCGUUUAUGAAAGUGAACAGGGAAUUCGUCCUGCUGCUUUUUGCAAGAUGGCUGUGAAAUAUGCGCCUCUCCUGUCACACUCUUUGUGUUCUAGAAUAUGUGGGAAGGGUGAAUUUGCUGUCUCCCUCCUACAUGCCAGGUGCCUUCCCCUGCAUCUUCUUGGUUUACCUGUGUGCACAUAUCCUCACCUGUAUCCAGCUGUAUCCACAGGUGCAUUCAGUGACUUAUCCAAGGUCACCUCGUGAGUGGAGGGCAGACCUUGGUUGUUCACAAGGUCUCUUCUCUCCUACACUCUCCCCAAAGUUGAGGCUUCACCUCUGCCUUUUGCAUCAUGUCAAGGGCCGAAAGGCACCCCCUGCCUGACCUUUUGGCCUGGGAUACGGAAGUUCGUUGACUCUUGCCUGGCAGGGCCGGGAGCUGGCCCUCUUUCCCAAUCAAUGUGUAUCAUUUCGGCAAGACACCGAGUCCGCUGCUGGAGAGAUUGAUCCUCUCGUUAUUUAUCUUCCCCCGCCUGGUGUAAAUUGGUCAGCCUGAUCCUGUCCGCAUGAUAAAAAUCAUAAUGUCUCAAAUUACUUACUCAAUAAAAUGUGGGUUUGUCUAUUAUUAGUGAUCAUUAGGGUUAUAAUGCAGCAUGGAAAUUUGGAGCAAAUUAACUACAUAUGCAAGCUCAUGUGCAGUUAAUCAUACACACACAGUUCCAGUGGGCAGAAGGUUUUGCAAGAAUUGUUUCAGGAAGAAUUGCUGGGAGGGGAGUUCAGUACCCAAGUUAUUAUUUUUUCAUCUCCUGUUCCCUCUUAAUCUGGAUUUCUCAAAAGCACAUUUAUCUCAUACAACAUCGAAUCCUGCAAGUACAAAAAAAAAAAAAAAA
rnacentral:lncRNA from 1 species